UCUUUCAAGAUAUACAUUUCACAUUUCAAAUUAAGAACAAGGUUAGUGAAAUUAUGAUUGUAAUGGUUGAAGAGCACUUCAGGGAAGUUGUAUGAUGGAAUAUGUGAUACUGACCAAAUAUAAAUGAGUCCAAGCUCUUGUUUGGCAUGUAUUCAUAAAGUAAGAUUUUUUCAUCUCCUUCAAUGCAAUAGCCCCUGAGUCUAACAAGGUUCCGAUGCUGAAGUUUUGCAAUCAAAAUAACCUCAUUCUUGAAUUCCUCUAAGCCUUGAGUGGAAACACUUGAAAGCCUCUUUACAGCUAUGUCUUGACCUCCAGGAAACGUUCCCUGGAUUAAGAAAAUUCAUAUAUCAUGAGGAAAUUUUGCGUGUACUCAAUGGUAUUGCUAGAUUGGUAAUGAAAGUUAAAUGAACUGAAUCGAUCACCUUAUAAACAGGUCCAUAACCUCCUCUUCCAAGCUUGUUAGAAUCUGAGAAAUUAUCUGUAGCUGCUAGAAUGCUUGCAUAAGUAUAACAGGGUACUUCAAUUCCUUCAAUGUCCUUUUCUUCUAAACUUCCUAAGCCUAUCAAACCUUUCACUUGUCUUUCACUCUCGUACAAGCUCUCCUGAAUUUGGGUGCUUGCCCGAUCUGAAAUCAGACAUAUAUACAUACAUAUAUAUAUAUAUAUAUAUAUAUAUAUAUAUAUAUAUAAAACCUUGAUUACAUGUGUGAAGAAAAAAAUAUUUUAAUUCAACACGAAAAACUAAACUCUUACCAGGCUUAGGGGCAUUUUUCUUUCUCCGCACAAUUGCAAGUACUAUUAUGCAUGCCAGAGUAAUAGUGCUUAUUAAAAUUAUUGUAAGAAUCAAUUCCAGUCGUUUGUAUGAACGAUUGCUCGGUGGCUCUGCAGUUCAUUUAACAUUGUUUUAAAAUUCAACGGAGUUUGGAAAAUUCAGGACCAGAACUAAUCUCUGCUACACUCGGAACAGUAAGAUAUUCAUAAGCAAACGGAAGAAAAUCUCUAAAAUGUUGCUCUUAUUUGGAAUUGAGAAUUUGAUCAACAAUGCUUUCCAGGAGAAGGUAAGGCAUGCUAGUUAAAUAAAAUAAUUCUGAUCUAGCAAACCUUUAUGGUAUUAAUAGAGAAAAACAGAAAAGUGUUGAAGAGACGUUUAAUAAAAUGCUAACCUUGGGUGCAACUCAUGAUUGAGUUGUUCCACCUAUAUUUUAAAUCACAAUGGCACCUGGUUCCUCCUUCACUUGUUUCUCUGCAUGUUGAAUAGGGCCAAUUCAUGCAGUCCAUAGGCCUAUUACAGGGAGGUUCUGGUGCUGGUUGCCAACGGAAUAAAACUCCAACAUCUGGUAUGCAUUCAGCUACAUUAAAUGGAAAGUUAGGUGUGUUACUUUGAUCUCUUCUGGAACUACAGGAAUAUGAAGCAUUCGUAUGAAUGAAAAACGUUCUGGUAUCUUCUUCGAUCCUAGUAACCUGGUAUGAUAUUCCUUUGGGCGUCAUGAAGUUAACUUGGCCUGUCGAUUUGGUACAAUUGAACUUGUUGUACAUGGGAUCUCCACAGUUUGGCCCAGUGCUUAGGGGAUAAGGAAUCUCAUAUGUCCCGCAAGGUUCACACGUUUUUGCAGUUGGUGCUGCACAACAAUAUAUGUAAUUCAGUGAUAAUAAAUCAUGUGGCAAUCAUAAUUUGCAUCUGUUUUUUGCAGUAUGUAUUUGUGUGCGUGUGUAUCCAAAAUAAAAAAAGUGCCCCAGCACACCGCUAAUGAUUUUUUGGUUUACCAAAUUAGGAAUUCUGUGUUAUGUUACCUCCCUAGUCGCAACUAUUAAGUAUUAAGUUGGAAACAAUGUGAAUCAAUAUGUUUACCAAAUAAUAGAUGAAUUACCUAUAUCUGAUCUCUUAACGAGGAUAGAAAGAUCACGGCCACGAUCGUACUCCUCUACAAGAGAAGAUAAAUUCUGUGUCCAGAUGUUGCAUGUAAAGGGACUGCGAUCACCGUAUGUAGACGUAUGAUAUGAAUAUGCCUGGCAAAGGGGACACUUGCUAAUGCAAAAGGACUGGCAUUCUGCUUCUGUUUCUGUAAAAAUUUCAUGGUCUGGGUUUCCUACUUUUAUGUUGGUUAAGUUGAGGAAUGUGACGUCGGUGUUGAUACACGAUGUUGAUUUUCUCACACACCCAUGUCCUUGGAGCUCUCCCUCAGGAAUGGGAGCGAAUCCUGGUAAACAUUUGCAGCCAAUAUGGUUAUUUCUGUUACAUAUGCCAAAGCUCCCGCAAGAAUCAUGAAUGUCGCACUCGUCAGCUGGCCCCCACCAGCGCUUUUCCCAUUGCCCUUCAUCCUCAUCCCACUUGAGAAAUUGUAACUCCCCACUGGAAUUCAUUAGCAGCCUCGAUUUCUUGUAAUUGUAAGGCUUCGAUGUAUAGACGGUUUUGUUUGAAAAAUUGUGCGACCUAGUACCCCGGGUGGUGGUGUUGCCCAACAAAUUAGAUACUACUUGGGAAUUAACAUCUCUGUCGAGUUCGUCAAGGUCCCAGUAGAUUUGUGAUAGCUUUUGCACUGCGAAGCUUCCCCUCUCGUCCUCUGGAACCAUCGUAAAGGUGAAGUUCCCAGGUGCCGGGUCAGUGGAGUUUCUCCAUGAAAUCAAUGCUACACUUGCAUCCAUUUUCAUGCCAGGAAGAAACGUGUCUGUUGGGUGUUGAAAGCUCUGCCACGUGUAAUUACUCCUUCCCAAGUUAUCGUCCAUAAGUACUAGGUUCCCUGAUUCUAGGAGCUUCACUGUUCUGUUUGUAGACGAAUAUGCUUCGAUUUUAGAGGACCAAUAACUUUCUGAUGAUGCACCUUCUAUCACCAGAUUUCCAUCCUCUGCAAUUCGAAAAACACCAUUAGAAUCUAAAACAGGCUUGUCUCUAUUGGCAACCCAUACCACUGUUUGUGGUUCCAACCCGUGAUACCAUAUCCCCAAGUAGCGUUUUACAACACUGCUGCUACCACUUAAAGGAAAGAAACCAAGCUCAAAUGUGCGGUUAGAUGAAACAAGGUUCUCGAAUGAGUUCAGAGUUAUCUUCUGGCCAGCCUUCAAAGUAUCUCCAGUGGAACAGAGUUGGAAGCAUAACACCAAAGAAAAAAGAGAAAAGGAGAACAGAACCUCAUCAGUUCUCAUGUCUAAUACAAACCUUCUAAUUUUGAUAGCUAGUGUCCCUUUGAUCCUUCUCAAACAUUUGAAACCAAAUGCUAUCAAAUCAACUAGUAUUCGAACCUCUUGUUAGGUGCCAUUGUUGACCCUUGUAUGAGGUAUACUAUAAAUUAUAAGCUUAGUAACUACUGGUGAAAGGAGAGAGGGAGGAGAAAAUAAAACAAAAGCAACGAAGAAAGAAAGCAUUGCUAAUUAAUGUUUUCGCUUAUAAAAUUAUUACCUGAUGGCUUAUAAUUCAAACUAUGACUUAAUCAAUAAAUUGAUAAUUAAUGUUUUCGCUUAUUUAAUUAUCAAUUAAAUUUUGAAAGCAUUGCAAUUGAUGAUCAAUAUACUAAUAUUAUAACUUUAAAAAAAAUUAAAGCUUGAAUAUGUUUUUCAAAUUUAGGUCCUUUUGAUUUUUAUCCACUGAUUUAUUUAUUUUAUUAAUUUCAAAAAUAUUAUUUUUAGUCUAUUCUAUGGUAAAGAAUCGCCACAUUAAUUAUUGUACAUUUAAAUUGUCAAAAAUCAGUCAAGAGAGACUAAAAUUUGAAAGGAGUUUAUUUUUAAAUUGAGGGAUUAAGAAAGGUAAAUUUAAAUUUGAGAGAACAAAACUAAAAAUAACCUAAUUUGAAGGACAAGAACCCAUUUAAACAAAAAAUUAAUAAUCAAAACAUUCAGGUGGAGCAUCUCCUCCUAGACAAUAAAGAAAAAAAAACGAGAAAUUACCAACUUCAAAUGGGCACACUAGAGAGUUUUUAAUUUACACGGUGUAGUUAAGUUUUCUAAUUUUUACUUCUUCCGUUUCUAAUUAUUAGAUUUUAUUAAAAAAUUAUAUUUUUUUUAUAAGAUUAUUUUCUAAUUUCUAGAUAUAUUGAUUAUUUUUUUCAUACAUACCUUUACUUAAUUAUUCUUUUUCCAAAUAUUAAUAAAAAAUUAUUAAGUGAAUAGAGAUGAGAAAAACAUAAUAUUGAAAUACGAGUAUAAAUAAUUAACUAAUUAAUUAUUUUUCUUAACUGACCCAAAUUAGUUAAAAGUUCUCAUAGUUAGAGAUGAAGGAAUAAUAUAUUUAGAAAAAUAUUUUUUAUGAGUCGUAUUUUUGUGUUCAUGAGUUUAAAAAAAUACUAAAAGAAUUUUUAUUAAUUUAAGCUUCGAGUGAAAUCGAAUUUCAUGAAACUUUCAACAAAUUAAAAAUUAGACCAAAUUAAAAUUUUCAUCUCCUCCAAGUUGGAAACAGUGUAUCGUUGCUUGAGCUUUUCCUCCCUUGUGCUAGGAUGCUCGAGGUUUGUUAGCAUCACCAUAUAUACUCGACGACUUUGACUUGCAUGCCGGCCAGUUUUCCACACGAGUUUUUUUUUUAUUUUUCCUUGUAACAUCAAGGGAGUGAUCAACAAAUUUAAUGAUGCAUGAUAAAAUCUGUCUUGCACGAAUCAUUAAAUUGUUUAUUCCGACAGGAGGGGUCAUAUUUUGUCAAAUUAUAGUAUUUGAUAACAGAAAUAUUGUAUAUGAACUAUCAAGCUGGAUCUUUUUAUGAGAGAAUUUAAUAUCAUUUAACCUAUAACCAUAAUAUUUAGACUUACACUAACUAGGUACAAUAGUAGUAAUUUAACUCCAUUUUCUUGACUCAUUGUACUCGAUUCUCUUGACUGGGAUAGUGAUGACACGGUUCAACAAAAAGGUAUAUUAAAGUUAAAGUCUUUCGAAAAACGUUAAUAAUGUCGUUAUUAGUGAUAUCAAGUCUUUCCACAAUUAUCAUUGAUUUGAAGUGACGUGUGUAAAGGAAAAUCAUGCAUUUUUAUGUGGUACUGCUAGCGUCAAUGGCAUCAAAGUCAUCGCCCAGGUCUACGCCAUUCGUCAGUACUCGUUACCUUGUUACCUCACAUUCGGUUGCCUCUAUCAUCCUAAUAUUUUUCUUCUUUGUCUUAAACUUAGCGGGGAUAUUCGGUGGUCUGAUACCAUCACAUAGGAUUAGAAUAGGUCAGAUUAGACUUUAAAAAGUAUGAGUCUAAUUUAAAACUGGUUUAUAAUUUAUUAAAAACUUAUUUUGAUUAAAAAGUCUAAGCUGAUCUGAUAAUUUUUUUAAAAAUCUUUUUCAUAUUAGAUCUUUAAUAUUUCUUUGUUCUAGAGUAGUAACCUAAUAGGAAAGUUAAUAAAAAAAAAAAUAUUAACAAGAAUAGAAAAACCAAUAAAAAUAAUGACUAAUAUGAAGGAGCACAUGACUCACCCAAAAAAUUAAUUGUAUCCAAAAAAUAAUAUAAGUAUAAAUUGGUACCCAAAAAAUAAUAUAAAUAUAUAUAUAUAUAUAGGUCGGUCUUUCAGGCUUAUAAGGCUUUUUAACAAACCUAAGUCUGAUCUAUUUAAUUUAAUAAGUUUUUAAAAAAACCUGAACUUAACCUUUUAAUUAAAUAGGUCAGUUUAAGUCAAAUUUUAUGUAGACCAGAUCGUAAACCUCUAUAGACCGACCUGACAUAUUAUCACUCUUACCACCACAAGAUCUGUGGCAUGUGGUCUAAUAAUCUCAUAUUAAGUGAAUAAUAAAAAAAUAUAUUCAUGAACAAUAACAAUCUCAGACAAAUUAAUGGUGAUACCUCAUAAUUUAAGGUGUUAUGAAAUUUUAAAUUCUCCAUAAUCAAUUUUAAUAUAUUAAAGUAUCCAUGUGUAGUGCAAUUAUUUGUUGAGAUCAUAAAUGAAAUUUUAUCCUGAACCACCUAACAAUUAUCCUUAUCAACUCGAUUGGCAGCCGUAUAUUGAAUUGAAUAGUUAUUGGUAGCAUUUUAGUAUAGCUUAAUUAUUAUUUUGAACAUUUUAUUUUUUUAUUUAUUUAAUAAUUAAGACACCAAAUUAAACCAAAUAAGUAAAUAACAAAAGUCAAGUUAAACCUUCAAAUUUUUAUCAGUGAUGUCUUGUUCGGUCAGGGUAAAGAGCAACUUUGAAGCAUAAAGGGAAAUAUAAAGUUCCUUAGAAACAUAAAUCCAAAACCACAACCAGCGUAAUUAUUAUCUGUUAAAUAAUUGAUCUAAUCUAGAAGACUAGAACAAGAGUUAUAAAAAAACAUUCAUGAUGUGACGUAUUGCUGUCACAAUAAAGAAUUAAAUUGAAAAGGGUAAAGAAAUGACAAUAAAAUAAACAGGAAAAAAAAUCAUUAUUUUUUUUAAUUAACAGAAAUAAACACCUGAAGAGUUACAUUAUUAAAUAAUAACAUCAUAUUUUAACUCCAAACUUUAAGGUUUAAAUUUAAGGGUCUUCUUUUAUUUAUAUUACACUUAAUUUUUUUUAUUUUUAUUCGAUAUAAAACUUUAUUUCACACUUAUAUUUUAAUAUUUUUUCCUUCUCUCAUUCAAGCAGGAACAAGCAAGAACCGAGAACCGUCGGUCGUGUACCUUUGGGAAGUAGCUGUGAUAUCUUAAUCUUUUUUGUAAUAAAUUUUCUAACUUGAUUUAUGUAUGCCAAUAAUUUAUACUGUUGAUUUUAUUGGUGCCUUUGUUUGACAAAGGGAAUUCUAAUGAAUGAACUGGAUUGCUUAUACAUUUUAACACUUCAAGUAAGUCCAAUUUGUAUCAUUAGGGAUUGAUUUUAGUUUUAGCUGUUCUCUUUUCAUAAAUUUCGUUAAAAUUGAAUUUCUAUGGUGCUUUUUGAAAUAUACUUGACCAAAUCAUUUGUUGUUGAUUUUACAAAUUACCUAGUUGAAAUGGAACAGAAUAUUGAGACUGAUUUAUAUUGUUAUGAUUAAGUGUCCCAUGUACUAGAUAUGUUCCAAUUUCUUACUAAAUUGAAGUGUGCUGAAUAAUUUGGAUAUGCACUUAAUCUUGUGAUUUUUUGUUGGCAGUAGAUUCCAAGGGAUCUCAUUUUGAGUCUAUACAUUGCCACUCAUGGAACUUAUUGGCGCAUCUAUGGAUGUUAGACUAAAAAAUUUAUCCUUUGAUAUUAUAAACUACAAAAAAAAACACGGGUCAAUACCAAAAUACAAAAAAAUAAAAAUCAAAUUAUAUUUUCAAUUAUUGUCAUAAAAGAGUUGUCUUAUUUUGGUUCUUCCAAACUCUCACUCUUUCUCUACAUGGUGUAUCAUAUGAAUUGGAAGAGAUGAACUCAGAUACCAAAUACAUGUGCUAUAUAUAAGCAUUAUAUCAUUAAGAAGGCAUUUAGUAACCAUUACCACUCAUUAAUGGUCUUUCAAUAACCUUAAGACCAAAAUUAUUACAUUCUUCCACUUGGUCCAAACAUUUUGACUCAAUGAUUAAGUCAAUGAUCAAUCUUCUUGAGAAAUGAAUAUACCAACUAUGGUGAUAUCAUUCAUGUAUUACAAUAUGCUCAAUUUCCCAAGCAGUAUACUCAAAGUAUUGAUAAAACUUAAUGAACAAACCCAAUGUUUAUUCUUGAUCCAAAACAUAAUUUUUUUUUCAAAUAAAUCAAUGUGCACCUAAAUAUGAGAAAAUACCACAAUAUAAAAGUUUCAAUUUUAACUUGUAUGUAUACAAUCAUAAAGUGGAAUCAAGUCUCAUUCUUUCUACAUGAUCCUUAAAUUUAAACGAUGACAUGCCCUUAGUUAAAGGAUCAUUCAUCAUCAACUCUUUCUCUAAUAGUUAAGUACUUAAUGUCGAUGUGCUUACUUCGACUUCCACUUUUGUUAUUCUUAGCCAUAAAGACAACAACUAAAUUAUUACAGAAAAUUCUCAAAGGUCUUGAAAUAGUGUCAACUAUCUCCAGUCCAUAAAUAAAACUUUUAAGUCAUACACCAUGUGAUGUAGCCUUAAAACAAGAGACAAACUCAGCUUCCAUGGUAGAAGUACAGAAUUGAUAAGUGUUUAUAUAGCUGGGUAGGUUACCUCCUUAUGAAUGAGUUUUUAAGGGGACAUUUCGGAUGUCUUUGCUGCACUUUAACAUAAUAUCCCUCACUUUGUAGUGACGAGUCCUAGGACUUUUUGGAUGUCUUUGUUACACUUUAACAAUCAUUGAAAAUAUAAUUAAAAUUAAAUAAAUGAUGUUUUAAGAAAAAUAACAUAAAAUAAGAUAAAAUUAAUUAAAUUUGUUUAUAUUUAAAUUUAACUUGUAAGAUUAUUAUUUUUUUACUUUUAUAUAUAUAUAUAUAUAUAUAUAUAUAUAUAUAUAUAUAAGAGUCCAGAGAGUAUUAAUCAAUGAAUCCAAUUAUUAACAAACUAAGACAUAUGUAACUUACAGUCCUAUCAACAAUCACAAAUCGACCUAACCAGUGGCACAAGCAAACGAAUCCAAAGGCAUGCACAACAUAGAAUUAGCCAAAGCACUUAAGGUCUACGCAUUUCGUCAGUACUCUCCCGGUCGUUAUACCUUCGUCACUUCAUUUCACUUUUGGCCAAGCAUCACUAUCAGCCUACUGCGUUUCUUCUUUGUCUUGGAAUAUUAUUAAACAAAGUGAGGGUAUCAACUUGUUGUAGCAGUCUACAUUAAGUUGAAUAGUUAUUAGUAUUUCAGUAUCUGUAUUGUACGUAUAGCAUAAAUGUUUAUUUACUUAUAAUUAAAUGUGGGACUGUGAAAAAAAUCAAAAUAUAUAAAACCAAUUCAUAUCUAAUCCAAUUCAAUCCCCUUUAAAUCCAUUUAAAUGGAUUGAUUUCAUAUUCAAAUUCAAUUUUUUAGAUUUUAAAUCCAAUUCAAUUAAUUAGAUAUUUAUUUGGAUUUUUAAACCCAAUCCAAUUUUUAGACGCCAGCUGAAAUGUUUUGGACAACUUUGAUAGGAAUUUUUUUUGUCAAUAUCAUUCAGAGUUUUUUUUGUCAACAUUGGUUAAAACCAUUUCUUUAUGGAUGUUGUCCAAAAAUUUUCAACCAAUAUCAAUCAAGGUUAUUUUUCGAUUAACAUCAGUUAGAAUUUUUUUGUGUAAAUGUUUGUUGAUGUUAUUUUUUGGUCCACGAAUGAUAAGAUUUUUUUACCGACCUUGGCUAGAUUUUUUUAUCGACGUCAUAUGAGACUACUUCUUGCCGACUCAGCUCGAGCUAUUUUUUGUCCAAAAACAUCAACAAAAAAUCUUAUAUAUCUUUUGGCCCUAGAAUAAAGUUUUUUACUUGUUCAUCAAAUUUUUGGGUGAAUAAAUGUCAUAAGAAAAGAAACUUUAUUAAAAUAAAUAAAUAAAUAUUUUUUUUGUAAUUACAAUUUAAUAAAACAUUCAUUAAGGGAUAUAUUUUUAUGAAUGAUAAAAUCUUGUAUAAUUUUCAUUUACAAGGUCUAAAUUUUAGUAUAAUAAAAAUGUUAUUAAAUAAUUUUGUAUAAUUAUUUUAUAAUAAUUUAUUAAAUAUUUUUCAUGACUAAAAUGUCAAAAUAAAUGUAAUUUUAUUAAAAUAAAUAAAUAUUUUUUCUUGAUUAAAUUUCAACCAAAUAUUCAUGGACCGGAAGAAUAUAUAUUCAUCAAUGAUAAAAUCUUAUAUAAUUUUUGGUAUUUUACAUCAAAAUGUUAUUGAAUAAUUUUGUAUAAUAAUCAUUAUAAAUGUUAUAAUAAUUUGUCAUGUUCUUUUCGAAGUAAAAUAUACAUCAAAUAAAUUUUAUAUAAGAAAAUAAAAUAAAAAUUAAAUUCAUAUAAUAAUUAGUGUAAAAAAUAAAUUGCAAACGGUUGAAAUAAAUAUAUUAUAAUUAAUGUAACAAUUUAAAAAGAUAAAUAUUAUUAAUGAACAAUAAAUAAAAAUGAUAUUGAUUGCAUUUAUUAUAUUUAUAAUUAAUUAAGUUUUUAGUCCCUCAAAUUUUUUAUAUUCCAAUUUUAGUUCUUUAAAUUCUUUUUGUUUAAAUUUUUUGUUUCUUAUUUAUUUUUAUUACUCAAUAUUAGUUCAUGUUUUGUCCAUUUUUAAUCCUUCAUUUAUUUUGUAUUUGAAAUUAAUUUUGAACAAUAAAAAUAAAUAAGACUAAAAAUAGAUAAAACAAAUUAAGGAGACUAAAAAUGAUGACAAAAAGUUAAUGGAUGAUAAAAGUUGUCAAAAAAAAAUUGAGGGACUACAAAUAUAAUUAAUCAUUAUUUAUUAUUUUAGAAGAUUAAUAAAUAUGAAAUUAUCAUGUCAAAUCAUCCUAUAUUAUAAAAUCUUCUUUUUAUUUAUAUUUAGAGAUAGAAUAUAUCAUAUAAUAAUAAUAAUUUUAUGUAAAAAUGAUAAUAAUUAAUUUUAAUAGUUAAAUUAAUAUAAAAUUUAAAAUUAAAAUAUUUUAAAUUCAAAUUAAAACUCAAAAACAAUACUAUCCUUCUUCUCAAACAUUUGAAAUCAAAUGCUAGUGAAUCAAAGUAGUAUUCGAAUCACACAUUUAUUGGGUGCCAUUAAUUGCUGGCCACCUAUACGAUAGAUAGACUUUACAAUGGUCGUAACUUAACUCCGUUCACUUGACUGGGAUGAUUGAUGAUACAGAAUGUUCAACCAAAAAAAAGAGUAAAGUUAAAGUAAAACGAAAAACUUUAAUGGUGUCGUUAUUAGUGAUAUCGAGUCUUUCCACAAUAAUCGUUAAUGUUGGGUCGGGUAUAUAAUGGAAAUCUGCUAUGAUUAAUACACAUGUUACACAUGUUGUUAGAAUAAAGGAAAAAAUGGGUGAAAGUUAAAAAAAAAGGAAAGAAAAAAAAAAAGUUCUACGUAGAAUAAAUACUUGAAUAAUGUUUCAUUCAUUAUAUAUAAAAAGCUCAUUUUUUUCAUUUUUUCUUGUCUCAGUUGAGAAGCAUUUCCUCAACUUUUCUUUCUCCCUCCCAAAUUUCGAUGCAUUUCCGGCAAACUUCUCCUUCUUUCUUUCUGUCGCUUUAAAAUUUCGAUUGGUUAUAAGAAUGAUUUUUUAAAUCAUAUUUUUUGGUUGACUAUAAGAGUGACUUUUUAAGUCAUAUUUUCGGUUGACUAUAAUAGUGACUUUUCAAGUCAUAUUUUUCGGUUGGCUAUUACAGUGACAUUUCAAGUCAUAUUUAUUUUCGGUUGACUGUUAGAGUGACUUUUCAAGUCAUAUUUUCGAGUGACUUUAGAGUGACUUUUCAAGUCAUACAAAAGAGUGUAAUUCUAGAAAAGGUUCCCUCAGUGGGAAUCUUUUACAAUGAUCUGGACUGUUUUAUCCUGUGGACUUCAUGGUUGAUAGUCUGCUUGCACAAUUUUUGGCAGUGUCACGAAACGUCUUAAAGAAAACGACAUUGUCCGUAACUCAGCUAAUAAUUUUUUUGGUUUGCCAUAAACUAUUGUUACAACACAUACAUACUUAUGUGAUACUCCGAGUGUUAAUGACAUAUAUAUCUAAGUCAUCGUCAAGACUCAAGACUCAAGGGCCAUGCCAUUUAUCAGUACUCUCCAGGUCGCUAUACCUUCAUCACUCUCACUUAUGGCCUGCCUCUAUCAACCUACUGCAAUUCUUCUCGGUCUUGGUAUAUUAUUUAACUUUCAAGGGUUUAUUGACUCGGUUGUAGAUGCCUAUUCAACCCAAUAAACAAUAGUAAGUUAUUCAACUUCAACAUGAGAUGUUUAUGAGUUUUAUAUAUGAUUAAAUGUUCGCUUAAAUAUAUUUUUAAUUUUUAAUAAAUACUUAUUUUUUUAUUUGUUUUUUAUAAAAAAAUUGUUUUGGGUUGAGUUUUUAGUAAAACAUAUUUUUGUUUUCUUUUUGAGAUAUUAAUGAAUUUUGAUUUAAUACCAACUAAUUACAAAUAAAAAAUUAUCAAUAAAUAAAUAUAAAAUUUGUUAAUUUAUCAGGAGUUAAAAAAGUGUCAAUGACUAAAAAUAAAAUUAUUAUUUUAUUAAAGACUCAACGUAAAACAAAAAUUUAUUAAAAAAUAAAUAUAAAAAUUGAAUAAUUAUUAUGAAUUAAAACAUAUUUAAACCUUAAAUGUUUUGAAGAAAUUAUAGAAAUAACUUACCAGAUGUCUAUGAGUUGUUUUUACCUUAUUUUAAUAAGGUGUAUUAGAUUCUGGAAAAAAUUAAUAAAUAAGGUGCAUUAGAAAAUUUAAGGAAAAACUUGUAAUUUAUAUUAAAGAGUUUAAUGAUUUUUUUUAUGUUGUUAGAAUGUAAGUUUUAUUAAAAAGGAUAUCUUGUUAGAAUGUAAGUUUUUUUUAUCCUUCUUCCUUAGUCAUCCAAUUCAUCAUAUAUGUUCAUUAAAGAAUUUAAUGAUGAUAUAAUUUUAUAUUAUCAAUCUAAUUAUAAAUUAUGUCAUCCAAUUUUUUAUAUAUGAUUGAAUUAUAAUUUAAGGACCAUAUAAAACUAUUUCAAAAAACUAAUCACAUCAUACUAAAUCACACUCUCAAUUAAAAAGAAAAAAUUAUCUAUAAAAAAGAAAAGAUUAAAAAAACAUAAAAUUAAUGGAUUUACUAGCUUUUUGUACCAACAUAAGUCAGUACUAUAAAUUAGAGUGAUCACUCAUUUAUUUGAUGAUAUGACAAGUCUUUAUUAGUUGAUAGUAUAAAUUAGAUAACAAAGAAAAAGAUGAAGACCUUUAACCAAGUAAAAUUUUAUAUUAAAAACUUACUUUAUAAAUUCAAAAUGGUGUAUGCACUAAAAAGACAGACAGGAAAUCCAAAAUUGAUCCUUAAAAAUAAUACAGAAUACUCUAAAUUGUUAUAAAAUACAAUUAAAAUAUCAUUAAUUAUUUUACACGUACUCUAACAAUAGCUUCAAUCAUGCACUAUCGACCUUCUUGAUAACUGCUCUCAAACUGACCUAUAUCUGGUUUGCUCGAAGAGGAAGCUGAGCUAGAAAGAUGCUUUUUCACAAAAAAGGUUGGCUGCGUGGGAAUUGGCAUGCUUGCUGCCUCUAUGUCGAGCAUGAACAAAACAUUUGACAUAGUGGGUCGAUCACUUGGUUCAUCUUGUACGCAUAAGAGUCCAAUGACUGCACACUUAAUGAAUUCAUUUUCGUUGCAUGUUUCACAAAGAGAUGGGUCCAUUAAAUCCAGUAGCUUAUUCUCUGUCCAUAACUUCCAUGCCUGAUACAAUAUGUCCAUAGAAAUUAUUGGUAAGUCAACAUAUCGCUAAAAUAUGCAUAACCCAAAAGUGAAACACAAGAAACAUACAUGACCCAAAAGGCUAGAAAUUUGCUUGGACUGAUAGAAUCCAGUGUUCUUUUUUCCACUAAGAAUCUCUAGAAGGACUACUCCAAAGCUGAAAACGUCGGAUUUGGUUGAAAAGAAUCCGUCCAAGGCAUACUCUGGAGCCAUGUAUCCACUGCCAAAAAAUUAUUGUUAUAUGCACCAAGCAUGUGUAAAAUAUUAAACUCAGUAAAUAAACAACGACACAUUUACAAUCAAAUAUACUUGGUGAACUUACUAGGUUCCCACUAUUCUCCCUGUACAUGCUUCAGUUUCUUUUCCCCCAAAUAUUUUGGCAAGACCAAAGUCUGAUAUCUUUGGAUUCAUCUCCUCAUCUAGAAGAAUGUUGCUGGUUUUCAGGUCUCUAUGAAUCACUCUCAAUCUGGAGUCUUGGUGAAGAUACAACAUGCCUCGCGCAAUGCCUACGAUUAUCUCAAAUCGUAUUGGCCAAUCCAGGAGUAAAGUUCGUGUCCGGUCUUUCAAGAUAUACAUUUCACAUUUCAAAUUAAGAACAAGGUUAGUGAAAUUAUGAUUGUAAUGGUUGAAGAGCACUUCAGGGAAGUUGUAUGAUGGAAUAUGUGAUACUGACCAAAUAUAAAUGAGUCCAAGCUCUUGUUUGGCAUGUAUUCAUAAAGUAAGAUUUUUUCAUCUCCUUUAAUGCAAUAGCCCCUGAGUCUAACAAGGUUCCGAUGCUGAAGUUUUGCAAUCAAAAUAACCUCAUUCUUGAAUUCCUCUAAGCCUUGAGUGGAAACACUUGAAAGCCUCUUUACAGCUAUGUCUUGACCUCCAGGAAACGUUCC
rnacentral:lncRNA from 1 species